rnacentral:rRNA from 1 species
UACGAAGGGGGGCUAGCGUUGCUCGGAAUCACUGGGCGUAAAGCGCACGUAGGCGGCUUGUUAAGUCAGGGGUGAAAUCCUGGAGCUCAACUCCAGAACUGCCUUUGAUACUGGCGAGCUUGAGUUCGGGAGAGGUGAGUGGAACUGCGAGUGUAGAGGUGAAAUUCGUAGAUAUUCGCAAGGACACCAGUGGCGAAGGCGGCUCACUGGCCCGAUACUGACGCUGAGGUGUGAAAGCGUGGGGAGCAAACAGGG